CCCAUAAAAGUAUUUGAGGUGAUGCCUGCCCAGUGACCCCCAAAGUUCAACGGCCGCGGUAUCCUAACCGUGCGAAGGUAGCGCAAUCAAUUGUCCCGUAAAUUGAGACUUGUAUGAAUGGCUAAACGAGGUCUUAACUGUCUCCUGUAGGUAAUCUAUGAAAUUAGUAUUCCCGUGCAAAAACGAGAAUGUGAACAUAAGACGAGAAGACCCUGUGGAACUUUAAAAUCACGACCACCUUACAACCUUACACAGCCCCACUGGGUCCACCCACACAUAAACCCCUGGUCGACAUUUUUCGGUUGGGGCGACCUUGGAGAAAAAAAAAUCCUCCAAACCCACAGACCACAACUCUUCACUAAGACCAACUCCUCAAAGUACCAACAGUAACCAGACCCAAUAUAAUUGAGCAAUGGACCAAGCUACCCCAGGGAUAACAGCGCAAUCUCCUCCAAGAGCCCAUAUCGACAAGGAGGUUUACGACCUCGAUGUUGGAUCAGGACAACCUAAUGGUGCAACCGCUAUUAAGGGUUCGUUUGUUCAACGAUUAACAGUCCUACGUGAUCUGAUUCCCAGACCGGA
rnacentral:rRNA from 1 species